GACGAACGCUGGCGGCGUGCUUAACACAUGCAAGUCGAACGGAAAGGCUCCAGCUUGCUGGAGUACUCGAGUGGCGAACGGGUGAGCAACACGUGGGUGAUCUGUCCUGCACUUCGGGAUAAGCCUGGGAAACUGGGUCUAAUACCGGAUAGUACUGUUCUUUAGUGUGAAUAGUGGAAAGUUUUUUCGGUGCAGGAUGUGCCCGCGGCCUAUCAGCUUGUUGGUGGGGUAAUGGCCUACCAAGGCGACGACGGGUAGCCGGCCUGAGGGGGUGUACCGGCACAUUGGGGACGAGAAACGGCCCAGCCUACGACGGGAGGGAGCAGUGUGGAAUAUUGCACAAGGGGCGCAAGCCUGAUGCCGCGCCGCCGCGUGAGGGAUGACGGCCUUCGGGUUGUAAACCUCUUUCGCUAGGGAAGAAGCCACUUUGUGGUGACGGUACCUGGAUAAGAAGCACCGGCUAACUACGUGCCAGCCGCCGCAGUAA
rnacentral:rRNA from 1 species